rnacentral:rRNA from 1 species
GACAGAGGGUGCAAACGUUGCUCGGAAUCACUGGGCGUAAAGGGCGUGUAGGCGGGAAGGAAAGUCAGAUGUGAAAUCCCUGGGCUCAACCCAGGAACUGCAUUUGAAACUCCCUUCUUGAGUACCGGAGAGGAAGGUGGAAUUCCUGGUGUAGAGGUGAAAUUCGUAGAUAUCAGGAGGAACACCGGUGGCGAAGGCGGCCUUCUGGACGGUAACUGACGCUGAGACGCGAAAGCGUGGGGAGCGAACAGG